CUUACAAGGCGGCUGGCUGGCUGAGUAAGCAACAAGCAGAUGAACAGAAGAAAGUCAGAAAAUUCGUCUCAGCGAUAAGCACAGAGAGAGAGAGAAUGGCGACGCAGACGUUACAAUCAUUUCAUUAAUUGAAAGUAGUUGAAAGAUCUUUUAUCUUCGUCUUCAUCUUCAACUGCAAGGAAUAUUCUUUAUAUACGCCUCGCAUUUUUCCAACAUUUGCCAGAGAUUGAAACCCAAUACCACAAGUACUGUCCCACUGAUUUUCACUUUUUGUUCGAUUUCCUUCUCAAGAGAGAGAUAUAGAGACAUGGAGACACAGAUGGACGCUCCGAUGGCUCAAGAGAUGAGCUACUUGGAUCACAUCCAACGCCGGAACGAGGAUAAAGGAUGCCUCUACGCCUGUUUAUUCGCGUUGUGCUGCUGCUUUUGUUGCUACGAGACUUGCGAGUGUUGUUUGGACAUUCUCUGCUGUAAUUGCGGCUAAUUUGAUCAUUUGGUUGAAUCGAUGCGAUUGAUUGCUGCACCCCUAUCUAUAUAUCUUACGGUUCUAUUCCUUCCCCUUCGCGACUCUGCUGCGCUAUGAUUGGGAUUGUUUGUUUGUAAAAAUAAUCAAUCAGUGUUCAUCUCUCUGUGUUAAUCCUUGCUCUUUCUCCACACGCAUAAUCUGUGUUCGGUGAGAACUGAGAAAUAAACCAUUGAAUGAUGUAAUUAGUCCUUGCUCUUUUGUCCAAUUUGAUAUGUUCCUCUCUCUGUGCUUAGCAUA